UACGAAGGGUGCUAGCGUUGUUCGGAAUCACUGGGCGUAAAGCGCGCGUAGGUUGCUUUAUAAGUCAGGGGUGAAAUCCCAACAGCUUAACUGUGGAACUGCCUCUGAAACUGUAAAGCUAGAGUGUCGGAGGGGAUAGCGGAAUUCCUAAUGUAGAGGUGAAAUUCGUAGAUAUUAGAAGGAACACCGGUGGCGAAGGCGGCUAUCUGGACGACAACUGACACUGAGGCGCGGAAAGCGAUGGGGAUCAAACAGG
rnacentral:rRNA from 1 species